AGCGAACGCUGGCGGCAGGCCUAACACAUGCAAGUCGAACGAACCUUUCGGGGUUAGUGGCGGACGGGUGAGUAACACGUGGGAACGUGCCUUUAGGUUCGGAAUAACUCAGGGAAACUUGUGCUAAUACCGAAUGUGCCCUUCGGGGGAAAGAUUUAUCGCCUUUAGAGCGGCCCGCGUCUGAUUAGCUAGUUGGUUGAGGUAAUGGCUCACCAAGGCGACGAUCAGUAGCUGGUCUGAGAGGAUGAUCAGCCACAUUGGGACUGAGAUACGGCCCAAACUCCUACGGGAGGCAGCAGUGGGGAAUCUUGCGCAAUGGGCGAAAGCCUGACGCAGCCAUGCCGCGUGAAUGAUGAAGGUCUUAGGAUUGUAAAAUUCUUUCACCGGGGACGAUAAUGACGGUACCCGGAGAAGAAGCCCCGGCUAACUUCGUG
rnacentral:rRNA from 1 species